GUGCCAGCAGCCGCGGUAAUACAGAGGGUGCAAGCGUUAAUCGGAAUUACUGGGCGUAAAGCGCGCGUAGGUGGUUUGUUAAGUUGGAUGUGAAAGCCCCGGGCUCAACCUGGGAACUGCAUCCAAAACUGGCAAGCUAGAGUACGGUAGAGGGUGGUGGAAUUUCCUGUGUAGCGGUGAAAUGCGUAGAUAUAGGAAGGAACACCAGUGGCGAAGGCGACCACCUGGACUGAUACUGACACUGAGGUGCGAAAGCGUGGGGAGCAAACAGGAUUAGAUACCCCAGUAGUCC
rnacentral:rRNA from 1 species